rnacentral:rRNA from 1 species
GAUGAACGCUGGCGGCGUGCCUAAUACAUGCAAGUCGAGCGAACGGACGAGAAGCUUGCUUCUCUGAUGUUAGCGGCGGACGGGUGAGUAACACGUGGAUAACCUACCUAUAAGACUGGGAUAACUUCGGGAAACCGGAGCUAAUACCGGAUAAUAUUUUGAACCGCAUGGUUCAACAGUGAAAGACGGUCUUGCUGUCACUUAUAGAUGGAUCCGCGCUGCAUUAGCUAGUUGGUAAGGUAACGGCUUACCAAGGCAACGAUGCAUAGCCGACCUGAGAGGGUGAUCGGCCACACUGGAACUGAGACACGGUCCCGACUCCUACGGGAGGCAGCAGUAGGGAAUCUUCCGCAAUGGGCGAAAGCCUGACGGAGCAACGCCGCGUGAGUGAUGAAGGUCUUCGGAUCGUAAAACUCUGUUAUUAGGGAAGAACAUAUGUGUAAGUAACUGUGCACAUCUUGACGGUACCUAAUCAGAAAGCCACGGCUAACUACGUG